UACGUAGGUGGCAAGCGUUGUCCGGAAUUAUUGGGCGUAAAGCGCGCGCAGGUGGUUUCUUAAGUCUGAUGUGAAAGCCCACGGCUCAACCGUGGAGGGUCAUUGGAAACUGGGGAACUUGAGUGCAGGAGAGAAGAGUGGAAUUCCACGUGUAGCGGUGAAAUGCGUAGAGAUGUGGAGGAACACCAGUGGCGAAGGCGACUCUUUGGCCUGUAACUGACACUGAGGCACGAAAGCGUGGGGAGCGAACAGG
rnacentral:rRNA from 1 species